GACGAACGCUGGCGGCGUGCUUAACACAUGCAAGUCGAACGGAAAGGCCCUGCUUUUGUGGGGUGCUCGAGUGGCGAACGGGUGAGUAACACGUGAGUAACCUGCCCUUGACUUUGGGAUAACUUCAGGAAACUGGGGCUAAUACCGGAUAGGAGCUCCUGCUGCAUGGUGGGGGUUGGAAAGUUUCGGCGGUUGGGGAUGGACUCGCGGCUUAUCAGCUUGUUGGUGGGGUAGUGGCUUACCAAGGCUUUGACGGGUAGCCGGCCUGGGAGGGUGACCGGCCCCAUUGGGACGGAGAUGCGGCCCAGACUCCUACGGGAGGCAACGGUGGGGAAUAUUGCACAAUGGGCGGAGGCCUGAUGCGGCAACGCCGCGUGCGGGAUGACGGCAUUGGGGUAGUAAACCGCUUUCGCCUGUGACGAAGCGUGAGUGACGGUAAUGGGUAAAGAAGCACCGGCUAACUACGUG
rnacentral:rRNA from 1 species